rnacentral:rRNA from 1 species
UACGGAGGGGGCCAGCGUUGUUCGGAAUUAUUGGGCGUAAAGGGCGCGUAGGCGGCGUGGUAAGUCGGGCGUGAAAUCCCUCGGCUCAACCGAGGAAUUGCCUCCGAAACUGCCGUGCUUGAGUCCCGGAGAGGGUAGCGGAAUUCCCAGUGUAGCGGUGAAAUGCGUAGAUAUUGGGAGGAACACCAGUGGCGAAGGCGGCUACCUGGACGGGUACUGACGCUGAGGCGCGAAAGCGUGGGGAGCAAACAGG